AAAAGUGUCUUUUAAAAGAUGGACUCAGAUGUAAGUUGUUCAGUGACAGUUCGAUUUCAUUGGAAGUUGAUGAAAGUUCAGUUGACAAAUUUACAGGUCCAUCUUUGAAAAUCAAGUUAUAAGGUCUUUGGCUAAAGAGCUCUGAUAGUGUGGCCUCUGGAAUAUCAGUCCCCUGAUAUCCACAACAAAAAGCAAACACAAAAUUAAAAUUAAAAUCAAAAUUAAGGUGAUGAAAUCAAUUCUUCUGCAUACUUCUAAGAACAAAAAUAAAUAUAGUCGAUCUUUUAAGAGAUGGAGACAAAUGUAAGUUGUUCAGCGACAGUUCAAUUUAAUUGGAAGUUGAUGAAAGUUCUUUUGACAAAUUGACAGUUCCAUCUUUGAAAAUCAAGUCAUAAGGUCUUUGCAAAAAGGGCUCUGGUAGUGUGGCCUCUGGAAUAUCAGUCCUCUUAUAUCCACAAUAAAAUGCAAAAGAAAAAUUAAAGUGAUGAAAUCGAUUCUUUUACAUACUUCUAAGAACAAAAAUAAAUAUCGCGGAACCAGAACCAAAGAAAAGCAGUUGUCAAAAGAUAAGCAUAACCAGUAGCAAAAAAAUCUCAUAAAUCAUAAUCAUCAUUACAUUUAAAACCAAGUAUAACAUGCUUAUGUAAUCAUCAAUGAUCCAAUAUAUUUUCAACAAAUAUCAUACAACACCUUAUUAUUAUGAUUAAUACAUUUUCAACUAGUUAUAACAAGCUUCCAUCUACCUACCAUAUGGAAUCACAAAUCACAACACAGAGUACUAUGCAGAGAAUGAAAAUCUAAAUGUCACGACAGUAGUACAGAUUAAAGAAAGGGAAAUGUUAACUAGUGCCCCCGGGGCACUGGUUAAGGACUUUAAAUGGUAACCUUUUAUGAAAGUUUGUGUAAUAAAGUGCAUUGGAAAUUGAAAACUUUGACAUUUUAAAAAAAUAAUUGCUGAAUUUAGAAUGCUUAAAAAGUGUCAUGGAGGCACUCGUUAAGAUGGUGUAAAUUGCUCAUUCAAAU
rnacentral:lncRNA from 1 species